AACCACUGUAAAAUUACUAAAUUACCCCAAUAUAUAUAGCAUCGGUCCCAAUUCUCAGAAUGUAAUCCGUCAACACACGGUCUCUCUCUCUCUCUCUCCGCCGGAGUCACUGGAGUUGCCGGAAUCCUAUCUCGAUCUCCUCAUAUCCUCCCUCUUCUGAUUCUUCUCUUCCUCCUCCCUCGCCAUCGCCACUACCUCUUCUCAAUCCGUCGCUUCCUUCUCUUUUCUUCAGAUCUGGUCACCGGUGCCAAGAUCCUACGCCGAUUAUCUGCGCCGUCACUGCCGCUAGAAUCGUCUUCACCACAGCCACCUCUCUCUCUCUCUCUCUCUCUUUACCAGAUCUGAAACCAGAUCACAUCGCGCGACCACAGAUCUGAAGGGUCGAUGCCGGCGUGGGCAUCGCGAUCCGGACCGGGGUUUCGGCCGCCGUUCACGGCGGCACAGUGGUAGGAGCUAGAGCAUCAAGCUCUGAUAUACAAGUAUUUUGUAUGUCUCUUCACAGAUGUUGAUCUCUUGUUCUUGUUGUUGAUGAUGAAUAUCGUUGGUUAUGAUACUCAAAUCCGUCUCUUCAUUUCCUCAGAUCUGACGAAUCCGAGUGUGGUGUUUAAUAUGUGUUUUUGGUGAAUAAUCUAUGGUGUUUAAUACAGAUAAAAAAAUUUAUUUGUUGUC